rnacentral:rRNA from 1 species
GACGAACGCUGGCGGCGUGCUUAACACAUGCAAGUCGAACGGAAAGGCCCUGCUUUUGUGGGGUGCUCGAGUGGCGAACGGGUGAGUAACACGUGAGUAACCUGCCCUUGACUUUGGGAUAACUUCAGGAAACUGGGGCUAAUACCGGAUAGGAGCUCCUGCUGCAUGGUGGGGGUUGGAAAGUUUCGGCGGUUGGGGAUGGACUCGCGGCUUAUCGGCUUGUUGGUGGGGUAGUGGCUUACCAAGGCUUUGACGGGUAGCCGGCCUGAGAGGGUGACCGGGCACAUUGGGACUAAGGUAGGGCCCAGUAUGCUACGUGAGGCAGCAGUGGGAAAUAUUGCGCAAUGGGCGGAAGCCUGAUGCAGAAGCGCCGGGAGCGGGAUGACGGCCUUCGGGUUAUGAACCGCUUUCGACUGUGACGAAGCGUGAGUGACGGUAAUGGGUAAAGAAGCACCGGCUAACUACGUG